rnacentral:rRNA from 1 species
GACGAACCGUGCGAACGUUAUUCGGAAUCACUGGGCUUAAAGGGUGCGUAGGCUGCGAGGAGGGUGGGGUGUGAAAUCCCUCGGCUUAACCGAGGAAUUGCGCUCCAAACCGCCUUGCCUGGAGUGAGACAGAGGUGAGCGGAACUAAUGGUGGAGCGGUGAAAUGCGUUGAUAUCUAUUAGGAACACCAGAGGCGAAGGCGGCUCACUGGUCCGGGAACUGACGCUGAGGUGCGAAAGCGUGGGGAGCAAACAGG